rnacentral:snoRNA from 1 species
GGACUGCUUGUGCUUACCACAGACUGUGUUCUUACCUCACUGUAUAGAAAAAGGGGGCAAAGUACACCUACCCCAUACGUACCUCAGCCCAUGCCCUAUGCCUUGCCUGUAUUGUGAAUGGGGAGACAUGG